CAUUUUUUCGGCUGGCUGAGAUCACGCACGCCGAUGCCCAUCAGCGUGAUUCUCUCCACCCUCUCCGAUCAAAUCUCGCCCAUCACCCCAAUCUUCUUCUCCCUCCGGCGGGCUGCGGCUCACUCGCCUCCUCCCCUCCCCACUUCGAUGCCGCGGGAUCCCCUUCCCUGGUGGCAGCACACCUCUGUUUCCUUUCCAAUCCCACCGGCGGCGCCCUCUCUCCGACGCCCCUCUCCUUCACCCGGCGCCUCCCUCCCUCCGCACGGCUUGGAGCUGACAUGGGACCGGAGCGGCUCGGGCACGCGCGCGUGGCGAGGAUGCGAGCAGGCGGGCAUGGCACGGCGUGGUGGGGCUGGGUGGCCCGAGCGGGCGGAGGCAGAGGUGCGCCGUGCGGGAGGAGGAGCGGCACUUGGCACAGUGCGGUCUCCGAGCGAUUGUCGCGCGGCCCCUCGCGGGGCGCCACGGGCGUGCGGCCGGAGCGCCGCUACCUCGCGGGGCCUCUCGGUGGAGGUGGCCCUUGGUGCGGCCCCUUUCGUCUGCCUUUCGUUCCGUCCCUCGCCUCGAGGCUGCCUUCCCCGAUGCGCCACGACUCUAGCCCGGCCGCACCAGCCAACCGCUCGGGACGCGUUGCGGCCAGGGGGUCGGGGUGAAGUCCGGCGGCCUGCCUCUCCAGCACGCAGCGCGGCCACUUCUAUUUCUUCUGAUACAGGCGUUGCGACCGCACCAGACGAUCAAGGGGCGGAACCCUACUUCAAGUCCACCAGCAACUGAUGACGAUCGCCCGUCGGACGACGCGUUGCGGCGUGAGGCCGGGUCAACUCCGGCGACCUGCCCCUUCAGCACGGCGGAUAGGGACGCGAGGAGGUGGAACUCUGCUAGAUUGUGGCCUUGUGCGAUGGCCCGGCCAGCUGUUGAUAUGAUAAUCCAAGUCCAGCGGACUGCCAAUUGCGUCGCUGUGGCGAAGCAGUGGAGCCCAGUGGCCUAAAACCCUACGAAUCCCAGUGCGCGCGUACAUCUUGAACACACCCCCUUUGCAUUCAGGUUUUAGUUCUAUCAUGAGGUCAGUGCGUAUGUGUAUGUAGCAAUGUCAUAUGCUUCAGGUCAUUUAGCAGUACAUUUGGGCAAGACGCUAAGUUCGUUCAUGCCGUUUUGAUGAACACAUGCUAUCAAAUGCAGGCAAGAGCUAUUCUCUCAUUUACCGUCGAGCUUAGCUCAUCGUGUGGCUUUCGAGGAGCAACUGAAUUUUCUUGACCAACUAAAUCAGAUUGCACGUAGUUUCCGGCGAACCUUGCCAUGCCACCGCGGCACCGCCAUCUGUGUCGCUGGCCUGGGCAUACCAAAAUUAUGAGCUGCUGCCUCUUCUUGGUUCGUAGUUAGGAUCUGGUUCAGAUUUGGGUUUUUCGGUCUGUCUGUUUUUUGAAUGAGUUCCCAGUGCUAUUCAUGUUGUAGCAUUAGGUUUGAGAGUGAUUUUCAACUUGAGUAUUGAAAGAAUUUUCCAUAGUGAUAAUACGUUAGCAACCCUAAGAUACAAUAUCUUACAAAUUGACUUAGACAUCUGAUUUAGGGACAAAAUUCAGAGAUGGUUAUAAAAGUUGAGGUCAGAGUUGCUCUAAAAUCAAGACAAUGUCAAUAUGUAAGAAACCUCUUCAUUAUCAUUUCUCUGAAACUUCAUUGAUUUCAGGUCCACCAUGUAUCUCCAUACAUGACAACAAAUGUGCUGAACAAGAUAUCAGAAAAGGUUAUAUGGUUGAUUGAUGCCUUGCACAUGCAUUUUUUUAUUGAAAGGAGAACUAUGCUAGAACAACAGUGAGUUUCGAACACUAUAGUGGUUCCUGGAAUCGUGGUUCUUUGUGUGAAGCAUGUGCAUUCUGAAUGUUGUUACUGUUAGCAAUAUAACCUCUGAUGUAUCAGCUUCAAAUCCCUUUGGAUGCCCAGUUAACUCAGUGCGUAAAUUUUUAAAUGAUAGCAUGUGAAAUUAGAUUGCUCCUGACAAUGCCAGAAUUUGGGGCUGAGAAGGAUGUCAGCUAACCAAACAUUCAGAUACCUAACAUCUAUUUAAUCCUCGUGAGAGUGAUUGGGGUUUCACAUCUUUUAUGCCUUUGAGCAAGGGGAAACACCUGUCUCCUCAAUAUUUCCAUUCAUUGUUUCAAUUAACUGAUAUUUGAUCAGAUUGGAGCAAUUGGAUUAGAGUAGGCAUAUAGGAGGUUGAUCAGCUAGCAAGGAAUACCUUAUCUGAUCCACUAUUCAAGAUAUGAAAUCUUUGAUGCCUGCUAUUUGAUCUUGCAUAUACGAUUCAGAGAAACAGAACAAAGAUUCAGAAACAGAAGAGUAGAAGAAAGGGAAGUCGAGUUUCGGAGGUAAAACAAACAAGAAAAAUCAAAUUUCAGAGAUUGAGCAUCUUUGCUGAAUUUCAGAGACAAGCUUUAGUGUAUUUGAAUUAACAUAUAUGUUAACCUGUAAUUUAUCAGAGCUAACUUUCUGUAAAUGUAAGUAAAGGUUUGAGCAAUCCAUGUUGAACGAAGUGUGCAUGAAUGUGUUCUGUCAGUAGAGUGGUAUCUAAUAAUACAAAGAGAUUUUGAUGUCGUGAUUCAAGUUUGUUUCAUCAAGAUAUUUUAUAUGGUUCAAUAAUAUUUUCUGGCUGCAGUAACAUUUCUUAGUUUUGUUUGAAUCCUUGGAUACAAAAUCUUAAAGUUGCGAUAUAAUUUUUUAUUAUUCAAUUGAUUAUUAUUUAUUUGUGCUACUAACUAUUCUUUCAUAACUCUAAGCAGUUGUAUGAAUUUGUUUAUUAGUUUAUAUUAGAUUCGAUUCGAUUGCUAUGAAAUUAAUAAAUAUUUUUAAAUUUUUAAUAGGUGUUUGAUACAAUUCAAUUAUUUUUAAAUAAUUGUUCUUUAAAACACGUGCAUGUGGCACAGGCACCUCCACUAGUUCAAGUAAAGGAGAGAAAACAAUAUUACCGACGAAAGAGGAGGAAAUUACUCCAACUGAAGCUUCAUUCCUCGGAGGCACAAAGUUGGAGAGGGGCCGACACUCCGGCUCCUCUCCGGACUCUCACCUCUCCUCUCUCCCUAUUUUCUAAAGAUAUAUGGGCAGCUACGCUUCGCCUUGGACUUGCUCCAAUUCUCCGUGGUUUGGAAGUGAGGUGAGGGCUUCUAUUUAUAGUGCUUUGGAGGUCGGUACUUGAGCCAAUGCGUGGCUUGUACGCAGGUACGUCGGUUGAGGUAACUUCCACGCGAAGUUGAGCACUGUUGGCGGUCGUUUUCAGUGAUUUCUACCGCCAACAUUCCUUUGGAUUUCAGGCUCUCAGGACCAUAAUACAUCAAGUUUCACUAACAUUAAUGAGUUCCACGAGUUUUGGUGAUUAUUUGAUUUCAGGAACACAACAUACGAAUUUGAGCCAAAAUGGGAGAAAACCCAGGCCGGCCGGCCUACACCUGUGCCAUUUCGUCGUGCAACUCCUCAGAAAUGGUCCUGAGCACAUUAUCAAGCAAAGCUCAAGUGCUUGACACAAGAACAAUCAAUCAAGACCGAAAGGCAUACACCAAGAUCAAUUGGGUCCACAUUUCAGUGACAAACCACUUGACCAAGACCCAAACCGACUUGAGAAGCAUCACAAGACCUUGGAUCAACGUGACACGGCAACGAAGAGCCGAGAUGCGCCAUAGCCAGGCCGACCAGCCUUGGUGAGGCCGGCCGGCCUAGGAAGCAUGUGGAAAAUGCCGAGCAGUUUAUCACAGACUCCAGGAGAGGAUCCAAGCCAUCCAGAGAAGGUCGGCGCCAAAUGACGUGAUCCCCAGGCCGGCCAGCCUAGGGGAGGCCGGCCGGCCCCGCCUGUCGUCCUCUGGAGCUUCUCCUUGGCGUGGAAGUUAAGCUCAACCGCCUUACCGGCUUACAACCGACGCCAACCUCUGAACCGACCCUGAAGCACUAUAAAUAGAGCUCACUCUCUCACUUGUAACACAUACCAUCCACUAGAGAGACGUGUUCACUCUUGAGCUCUCUUUGUAUUAUAAUAUAUCUUUGAGUAAGUUCCUCCCUUAGGCUGGCCGGCCUAGGAUUCGCCGAGUUUUGAUCGAACGCCCAAUAUUGCUUCUUGCAACAUCGGUUGAAACUACCUCCAACUUGACUUGGUCCGUUCGGCCGAAAAGUGAGGCCGGCCGGCCUAGGUGAGGCUGGCCGGCCUGGGAUUCUCUCCCCAGGCGUCGGAUCAACCGCCAUUGUGUGAUGGACGGUGUGGUGUUGCUCUCCCAAGGUGUUUGGACGUUUCUUCAUGCGAAAGGUCCAAGCUUGGAUGAUCAUCCCAACAUCAACUGACCAUUUCGGGAGCCCAUUGGAGGGGCAUAUGAGGCCUUUCAGUCUUAGCUUCGCUUUGGGCUUGUACCAAGUGUUUGGGGGUCCAUUGGUGAGUCCCCAAUGCAAUGAUACUGCGUGAAUAGUGUUUUGGGGGAGGUGCCAGACCGGCCGGCCUAAGUCAGGCCGGCCGGCUUGACAGGGCCGUGUCGGUGAUCAUCCCGAAGGCGUAACUUUUCCGUCCGGACUCUGAAUUGGGCCAUCCAAGUGUCCAUUUUGAUUAUCUCGGAGAUCUCUUGAACAUGGUGCCAUCAAAUAUAUGAUUUGAGUAACUUUUGUACCAUGCCCAAGUGUCAUUUGUACCGAUACGUCUAAAUGAAUCUUCAUUUGUAUGGCCUCAACUGCUACUUCACCAAAUAAUGGUAUUUGUGUUCCAUAUUACCUGUAUUCCUUGCAAAACAUGUUGGGACACAAAACUCGUGGAACUCAUUAAUUUAAAUAAAACUUUAUGCUCAUACUACUACAAGUUCCCUCAUUAAUGGCAAUGAUUGGCGGCCAAAAUGGGGGUAUAAUGGCCGCCAUCAACGGGCCGGCCCACCGCCGCUCGCGGUGCAUGGAUCCCAAUCUGUCUCCACUCCCGGCCAACCACCCAAUCACGCCGGCCCGCGAACCCGCAAUCGCCGACCUCCAGGCUCCAAUCGCGCGGAUCGGAGGUCCUCCGCUCACCGCGGAUCUCUGCGCUAUCUCCGCCCACGGCCGUCACCGUUCGGCGCCCCGGUGACCUCAUCUUCAACUUCCCGCAGCGCCACAUCGAGCAGGUACUCGCUUUCACCAAGCCGCCUCCGCUUUCCCCUGCACUGUGAUUCUGAUCCUCAUGCCGUCCUCCUCGAUGAAGACACCUCCAGCUCCAAGUAUGCUCCCCUGAUCCCAUCCUUCCCUUCUCUCACGGAUGUGAUUAAGUUCUUAAUAAUUUCGGGGGACGAGGGCAUCGGGGAGGGGGACGAGGGCAUCGGGGACGAGGACGCCAGCGCCACUAAAGUGAAAUGGGCAAGGGCAGCCCGCCAUGGUGGUCUGCGCUGCCAUGGACAAGACGAGAGCUCCAUCCUCUCCGCGGCACGCGUACCCCUGCGACUUGAUAUCGGAGCACCUCACUCUUUCUGAUUUGGGAGACAAGCAGAUGGAGUGGUGGUGGAGCUACCGCUUAAAUCGUCGGGAGACGAUGAGUUGACGUGUUGCUGCUGCUGAUAUGCGUGCUCGAGAGGAGCUGCUGCUUGCUUGCUUGCUUGCAGUGAUGGUGGAAGAGAGAAGCUUGAGUGGCCGCAUGUUGGGUCCGUGAAGAGCAGAGAUUGGGAUGGUUGAAGGCAAUCCUUUCUUUGCUUCAAAAAAAACUCAGUCCUUUACAAAACACAGUGGAAUUGUCGAAGAUGAUUGGAGCCUUGGAUGGAAAUGAGAACAUUAUGAUCGAGGCCAAUUAUUUUGUACUUGUACACCCGGCUGAAGGAAUUGGUCAUUCGAUAGGAUGAAGACCAUUGCAAAAAUUCCUGCCCCGUCCUAUUCUCCCACCAGCGUCAAUGGGUGUUCUGCUGGAUCGAGCAAUAAUGAGGUGAUCCUCUCACCUGUUCUUGCACUGCAUCAACAAAUGCUACCAGGUGAGGCAUCGGUUUCCUCUAUUUUGACCUGCUAUGGAUCAAAGGAUGCUACAGAUUGUUCAGCAUAUAAUGACUGACAUAGAAAUUUAGUUGACAUCCAACUGAAUACUUGGAUCCAUAUAUAGAAAAAGGAAAUAGAAAUCAAAUUUUUUGUGUCAAUAUUUGUAAGGACUAAAAUAUCCGAAAUAUAGCUGCUUUGUCUUGUGCUCCAGAUUGUCAAAACAGUGGGAAGAAGGAAAUACGACUUCGAGCAUUCUUGCAGGUAAUAUGCAUGCUCCACAGACUUUCCUGCCAUCUUUAUUCUUUGGCAUUUCACCAUCUCUUUAUUUUUCAUUGUUGUCCUGUUGAUCUUGUCUUUAAAAAUAACAGUUAGACAACAUGAAACAGCUUUGGGAUAGCAUGGAUUGAGAUGGUGAUAUGUGUUUUUUCUCUUUCUAUUGUACAAUGCUCAUAUAACUAAUUACUCAUGUUAGUCUACUUUACUGAUUCUCAACUGAUUUGCAAAAUCAUAUGGUUUAUGCCUCAAAAGAGCUCAUAUGGGCAUAUGGCAUUAUACUAUAUGAUUAGAUUGCUGGUACCCUUUUAUUUUCUCCCAACGAAAUUAUGUGUUCUUGGUUUACGAAACUUUGCUGGUACCUCCCUGUGAGCACUGGGGAGCAGUGGCAGAGUAGGGCCAUCGUCAGGCGCGGAGCAGGAGAGCGGGGGGUCGCCAAGUUGUGCGGGAAAACAAUGGGAGCGGAUGCCUUUGUUUGAUUAAAUUCAUUUUGUAGUAUACCGGAUCUGAAGAAUUAAAAUAUUCAAAUUUCAUAGCUCUUAAGUUUUGUAGACUUUUAAGAGGAGUGCAACCUGUUGCACUCUGCUGUGUCCAAAACUUCAAUUCCUGGCCCAAUUCAUAAUGGGAUGUUUGCAGUUUCAUAAUGUUAUAGAUUGUUUUACAUAAUAAAUGGCAUUUGAGAAUAUGAAA